rnacentral:rRNA from 1 species
UACGGAGGGUGCAAGCGUUAAUCGGAAUUACUGGGCGUAAAGCGCACGCAGGCGGUUUGUUAAGUCAGAUGUGAAAUCCCCGGGCUCAACCUGGGAACUGCAUCUGAUACUGGCAAGCUUGAGUCUCGUAGAGGGGGGUAGAAUUCCAGGUGUAGCGGUGAAAUGCGUAGAGAUCUGGAGGAAUACCGGUGGCGAAGGCGGCCCCCUGGACAAAGACUGACGCUCAGGUGCGAAAGCGUGGGGAGCAAACAGG